rnacentral:snRNA from 1 species
GUGCUUGCUUGGCAACACAUAUACUAAAAUUGGAAUGAUACAGAGAAGAUUAGCAUGGCCCCUACACAAGGAUGACAUGCAAAUUCAUAAAGCAUUCCAUAUUUUU